UUGCACUUUUUGUGUUUGCAUUUUCCUUAAACCUGUGGAGUCAAACUCAACUGGAGGGCCGCAGCACAAGUUCCAGCCCCGCUUGAACACACCUAUCCAGGCCAGGCAGAAUGGGGUCAUAUUGUUCGCAAUCUGAGCGUCGCUUUCUGAAUACUGAUGGGGUGGAAUAAUGACGGGACACAGCACAGGAGAAGGACAGUCGGAGGGAGAACAUCCAUGGAGGAGCACAGGAGAAUUCAGGAGAGAGGACUAUGCGUCUUUGGUUCCAGCUGAAGACUGAGUGAGUGAGGUGAGUAUUUAUAGUGAGUUGUUGUGAUUGCAGGUG